ensembl:lincRNA
CCAGUGUCUCUCCACCUCAAGAAAUAGCUCCCCCGGCCAGGUGACCACUGUACCAUCAUUUCCUUGGCCACCACUACUUUGAUUUUCUUUUCACUUUUCUCAACUAGCCAAGGCUUCCAAUUUUCACUGCAGUAGUGGACAAGAUCUUUGAUGAAGAGUACAAUGUCUGGUUCCUAGACUGGGGUGGCGCCCUGGUAGCCAUGAAACAGAGACCUCUGCCUGUAAGGCAUUUGUGGGUGAGUUUUGAUGAGGGCCGCUCCUGGGACAAGUAUGGUUUCACUCUGCAUCCGCUCUUCGUGGACGGGGCGCUGGUGGAGGCUGGAUUGGACACCCACAUCAUGACAGUUUUUGGCCACUUCAGCCUCCGCUCCGAAUGGCAGUUGGUGAAAGUGGACUACAAAUCCAUCUUUAGCCGGCGCUGCACCAAGGAGGACUAUCAGACAUGGCACCUGCUCAAUCAGGGAGAACCUUGUGUUAUGGGAGAAAGGAAAAUAUUCAAGAAACGGAAGCCGGGAGCUCAGUGUGCCCUGGGCCGUGACUACUCAGGGUCCGUGGUCUCAGAACCCUGUGUCUGUGCUGACUGGGACUUCGAGUGCGACUAUGGCUAUGAGAGACAUGGAGAGAGCCAGUGUGUUCCUGCAUUCUGGUAUAAUCCAGCAUCCCCCUCAAAGGACUGCAGCCUUGGGCAAAGUUACCUUAACAGCACUGGGUACCGGAGAAUUGUGUCCAACAACUGCACAAAUGGACUAAGAGACAAGUAUUCUGCCAAGGCCCAGAUGUGUCCUGGAAAAGCCCCUCGGGGCCUCCACGUGGUGACAAAUGAUGGGCGCCUGGUGGCAGAGCAGGGACACAAUGCAACCUUCAUCAUCCUCAUGGAGGAGGGUGAUCUCCAGAGGACAAAUAUCCAGCUUGACUUUGGGGAUGGGAUUGCUGUGUCCUAUGCUAACUUCAGCCCCAUCGAGGAUGGCAUCAAGCAUGUCUAUAAGAGUGCAGGGAUCUUCCAGGUGACAGCCUAUGCAGAGAACAACCUUGGUUCGGAUACCGCUGUCCUUUUCCUGCAUGUGGUUUGUCCCGUGGAGCAUGUUCAUCUCCGAGUUCCAUUUGUCGCCAUCAGAAAUAAAGAGGUCAACAUCAGUGCAGUUGUGUGGCCGAGUCAGCUGGGAACCCUCACCUACUUCUGGUGGUUUGGCAACAGCACCAAGCCCCUCAUCACCCUGGACAGCAGCAUUUCCUUCACGUUCCUGGAGGAGGGAACCAGCACCAUCACGGUCCAGGUGGCUGCUGGGAACGCCCUCAUCCAGGACACAAAAGACAUUGCAGUUCAUGAAUACUUCCAGUCUCAGCUCUUAUCCUUCUCUCCCAACCUGGAUUACCACAAUCCUGACAUUCCUGAGUGGAGGCAGGAUAUUGGCAACGUCAUCAAGAGAGCUCUGGUUAAAGUCACCAGUGUCCCAGAAGAGCAGAUCCUUGUCGCCGUGUUCCCUGGCCUCCCCACCUCUGCGGAGCUUUUCAUCCUUCCACCCAAGAAUUUGACGGAGAGGAGGAAAGGCCACGAGGGGGAUCUGGAACAGAUUGUAGAGACUUUGUUCAAUGCUCUGAAUCAGAACUUGGUCCAGUUUGAGCUGAAGCCAGGCGUCCAGGUCAUUGUGUAUGUCACACAGCUGACAUUAGCCCCGCUGGUGGACACUAGUGCUGGACACAGCAGCUCAGCCAUGCUUAUGCUCCUGUCCGUGGUGUUCGUUGGCCUGGCUGUAUUUCUGAUCUACAAGUUUAAAAGGAAAAUUCCCUGGAUUAACAUCUAUGCUCAAGUUCAACACGACAAGGAGCAGGAGAUGAUCGGGUCAGUGAGCCAAAGUGAAAACGCCCCCAAAAUUACUCUCAGUGACUUCACCGAGCCUGAAGAACUGAUGGACAAAGAGCUGGACACCAGAGUCAUAGGAGGCAUUGCCACCAUUGCAAACAGCGAAAGCACAAAGGAGAUCCCCAACUGUACGAGUGUUUAACACCCACCGGCCACGUGUUCAGCCACCUUUCUGACAUUUUAUUUUUGAUGACUUUAUUAUUAUUAUUAUUAUGGAAAAUUGAAAAUGUCUUUUUUACCUUUUGUUUACCAAGGGCCCCCCCCCUUAUAAAUAGCAGGCAGAUACUUAAAUUUGGGGAAAAGGGGCAGUCUUAGGUGAUGAAAAUGAGUCAAAAGGAAUAAAUGACUAUAUCCGUGCUAGGGGCAAAGGAUGCAUCUUCCCACAGCCUCCUUACUUUACUCAGCCAUUGGGAGUGCGGAGACUCCCCUUCUCUCUCUCUCUCAUUUUAAAUUGGAAGUUGGGUUGGUAUUUUGUUAAGUCCUAACUCCUAGGCUCCCACCCAAAUCACCAUCACUCCCUUGACCCGCCCCCAGCACAUACGUAAACAAUACGCACCGUUUCCCAGGUAGAGCUGCAAGAGGUAGGUUGGUGGGGUAUGGACAGGGCUGCAGAGAGUGUGCACACCUUUGUGAAAGAGGCCCUGCCUCGUGCAUGUCAAUAGUGAGGCUGCAGAUGGCUUAUUGUAAAUAAUGACAAUGUAAAUAGCUUUUUAUUUCCUAAGAAAUAAUUUAAUGUUUAGUAAAAAAGAAAACAGAAAAAAGAAUGAUGCGUGUGGUGGCUUUCGCACUCACCCUCCAAGUUGACCCACCCUGCUGACCCAGGCCUGUUUGAUGCGUUGGACUCUGGAUACUUGCCAGCUGUCUGUCACAUUUAACUACCCCAUCUCCACAUCCACGCCAUAGCUGGUUUCUGCUAAGUAUAUAAUGGGAGGUGCGGGGAGAGGGCUUCAUUGGGGCAGUUGGUGCAGAAAGGACUUCACUGACAUCAGAGGACCUGGGAGCCAUUUUUUUUUCAACAGUUGCAGUUGCAUGCAGGAAGUUGCAAGAUGAGGCCCAGAACUGAAUGUUUUAAACUGCAACCCAGAGGGGGUGGUGCAGCUUCUGCCCUAAGACGAGAACUUGAGAAUAUUAGACUGAAAUUUUUUUUUAACUCUAAAAAUCCAGGCAGUGGAUCUAAAGCUGUUGAAAUGUGAAAUGCUCAUGGCAAACUAUGGUCUUUCCUGAGCUCAGGUCCUUCGGGCACAAGGUUCAGUCCAGGCGGUGUCUGUUAGCAUGAGAAGCAUUAGAGAGGUCCAAGGAAGGUGGCAUUUGUGGAAUCUCAAGUCUACACAAACCCUUUAGGCCAAAGGGAGGUCUAGCCUUUCCUGAUAUUAGUCAAAGACAAUUUUAGCAAAGCUGUGCUAUUUGCCUGUCAGAUGUACACAACUUCCUUAAAGUCAAAUGUCUGCCUUCAGUUCCCUUAAGGUAGUUAUUGCCCCUGGAGUGAGUAGCUUUCCAAGCUGAUACUUGCUUUGCUGGGCCCUCAGCCCUUUCACAUAUUUAGCAUACCAGUUCUUUUCCAUAGAGAUACUUAAGCCCACGCAGUGAUCUUUGUUUCUAUUUUUAUUUUUAGGGUCCACCUGAUCACACUUGUUUUAAAGAAUGGUAUCAUAUAUAUAUUAUAUAUGGAAAGGCCACAUUUUGUACCUGCUAAUUUCUGUGGGAUGUCACUGGCAUUCCUCUUCAUGAGACCAAGGGAGCACGUGACAGAGAGAGACCUGGCUAGGUACAGCACAGCUCAGUGUGAAAAGUAUCUCUACAGACCCCGCUUUUUUGUUUCAAGGGUUAAAUGGAGCAGACAAUUGCAAUACUUGUACUAAACACUGGAAUACAAAUGCAUGAGUCAUAUCUAUAUAUACAGUAUAUGUACAUAUACUGUUCUUGGUUUUAUUGUUCCAUUUGAAUAUUUCUACUGUAAAAAAGACAGUGGUUUUGAAAUUGUUGAAAAUAAAUGUAUUUUUGUACCUCAAACCUACGUACUUGGCUGAACUUUCUCUCUGUGCGAUUUUCAUUACCUGUUGUAUCCAUCACA